rnacentral:rRNA from 2 species
GGUAGACUGAUAAUGCAGUCGAACGAACUCUGGUAUUGAUUGGUGCUUGCAUCACGAUUUACAUUUGAGUGAGUGGCGAACUGGUGAGUAACACGUGGGAAAACUGCCCAGAAGCGGGGGAUAACACCUGGAAACAGAUGCUAAUACCGCAUAACAACUUGGACCGCAUGGUCCGAGUUUGAAAGAUGGCUUCGGCUAUCACUUUUGGAUGGUCCCGCGGCGUAUUAGCUAGAUGGUGGGGUAACGGCUCACCAUGGCAAUGAUACGUAGCCGACCUGAGAGGGUAAUCGGCCACAUUGGGACUGAGACACGGCCCAAACUCCUACGGGAGGCAGCAGUAGGGAAUCUUCCACAAUGGACGAAAGUCUGAUGGAGCAACGCCGCGUGAGUGAAGAAGGGUUUCGGCUCGUAAAACUCUGUUGUUAAAGAAGAACAUAUCUGAGAGUAACUGUUCAGGUAUUGACGGUAUUUAACCAGAAAGCCACGGCUAACUACGUGCCAGCAGCCGCGGUAAUACGUAGGUGGCAAGCGUUGUCCGGAUUUAUUGGGCGUAAAGCGAGCGCAGGCGGUUUUUUAAGUCUGAUGUGAAAGCCUUCGGCUCAACCGCAGAAGUGCAUCGGAAACUGGGAAACUUGAGUGCAGAAGAGGACAGUGGAACUCCAUGUGUAGCGGUGAAAUGCGUAGAUAUAUGGAAGAACACCAGUGGCGAAGGCGGCUGUCUGGUCUGUAACUGACGCUGAGGCUCGAAAGUAUGGGUAGCAAACAGGAUUAGAUACCCCUGGUAGUCCAUACCGUAAACGAUGAAUGCUAAGUGGUUUGGGAGGGGUUUCCGCCCUUCAGUGCUGCAGCUAACGCAUUAAGCAUUCCGCCCUGGGGGAGUACGGCCGCAAGGCUGAAACUCAAAGGAAUUUGACGGGGGCCCGCACAAGCGGUGGAGCAUGUGGUUUAAUUCGAAGCUACGCGAAGAACCUUACCAGUCUUGACAUACUAUGCAAAUCUAAGAGGAUUAGACGUUCUCUUUCGGGGACAUGGAUACAGGUGGGUGG